GAACGCCACAUGAUAAUGAAAAUUUCAUGUGUGGUGUGGAACGGGGGAAAGGCUGGAGAUAACAUCAAAAGCUUACCUAUCGUUAU
rfam:Halobacteroides halobius DSM 5150, complete genome.